rnacentral:lncRNA from 1 species
CCACGGAUAAACCCAGCAUCCCAACCGUUCUUCUUCACAGAUUCACUCGUAUCCCAGCAGUUCCAACGUCUUCCCAUUCUCCAGCGUCCGGAUGUUCCAUGAUUCAAACUUCCAUAGCCAGCCUUUAUCCCGUAUCAAGCCGUUCACAGCUUUAAAUCCUCUGUUACAGCCAAAUCCAGCCAUUCCCGAGCUUCUUCUCAUUCCGGAUU